AUAGGUAGACUUUGGGGGCAGGGGUCAAAUCUAGCUAGGAGAACGAAUGAUUUUCUUAUAUAUAUUUUGACAUCUAAUAUUAUAUACAUGGCAUCACCUUUGAGAAGUGUUCAGAAAAUAUUCAGAUAUUUUAAUCAAAGUUGAUUUGAAGACACUUUUCUUUAUUUCUUUUUAUGGAUAUGAAGUACUUUAAUCUGUUUGCAUGUUUAAAUGAGAACAUUGUAUUUCAGGCUGUACAUUAUUACUGUUAUGGCCACUGCAAAAGCAGGCACAUAAUAUUCAUUGCCAUAGAUUCAGGCAUGUAAUCCACCUUUCAUAAAAAGGAGGUGUGAUUUGUCACUACUGUGGCCACAGAAUACAGUAGGGGUAUCAAACUUGCAACGUCAACUGACGCGUCGUGACGUAUCGUGACUUUUUUUUCCCAUCGCCCACAAUGGGGUGGGUGUGGUUUUGCUAUGAUGCAUCCGGCCUGUUGGCUGGCAGUUUGACACCCCUGAAAUUCAGGAUUAAAUUGCCCUCAGCUCUGAUCGGCUGGAAUAGGAAAAAGUUUUAGGUUUUUUUUUUAAAGGACAGAAGUUGUGGGAUCGUGUUGGUAAAAGAAUGGGGUUUAACAGAGUUCUCCAUAGCCUCAGAUUAAUAACUAGGAAUAUCUAAAACUAGAACAUUCUAGAUCAGGGAUAGGCAACUAUGGCUCCUUUAUGAUAUGUGGACUUCAAUUCCCAGAAUGUGUGUGUGUGUGUGUGUGUGUGUGUGUGUGUGUGUGUAAAUAAGUAACAAACCCUGGGAGGUGAGUUGGGCUGAGAGAGUGACUGGUCCCAGAUCAGCUUUCACUGCUAAGGCAGUACUUGAAUUCACAGUCUUCUGCUUUCUAGUCUGGCUCUUGCUUCUUCAAAUCAUUUCUUUUUGCAAUCUUCCCUUUCGUCCGCUAGGAAGAGAGUGCUGCUGGAGAAGACCUUAUUUCUCUUAUGCAUCAGAAAGGGAGAGGGGGACAGGGACAGCAGGUGAGGUGCUUCUAGAAGGUACAGAGUCUUCCUGUGUGAAAGAAAUUCAUCUUUUCUGGCAGACUCCAGCCAUUCCAGGCCUGAGAACUCCCCAAGCACACUGGAGUGCAGUGGCACAACUUAUCUGAUGUCAGUAUCACUAUGGUAAAACAACUAGCGAAGAAAAAAAAGACAGAAAAAAGGCCCUCCAGAAAUUUAUCAGCACUCUUCCCUAAAGUGAACUACUCUCUUCACUUAACAACCCUAAUUGGGGCUAUAAUUUCCAUCAUCAAAUAAAGCCGCCAUCAGCAUCACGUGAACGCACUGCUUAGCAAUGGCAGAUCUGGUAAUCCCAAUUGCAGUCAUUAGUUGGUGGCGGCCGCAGCGUUCUCCAGGGGCGAAAAGGAGUGAGGCCUCUUUAAGGAAAAGGUGGAAGAGACAAGAUCAGAAAAAGGAAAGGAGGCGAGGUUGUCGUGCAGGAAUACAAGCUAAUUUGAGGGAUAAUC